AAAAGAAGAACAAGACCCAAUUUUACACCAGAAUUCAGACUUGAAUGUGCUCAGUUAGUCGUUGAUAAAGGUUACUCAGUCAUUGAAGCUUCUCAAGCAAUGAAUGUAGGU
rnacentral:sRNA from 1 species